rnacentral:rRNA from 1 species
AUUGAACGCUGGCGGCAUGCCUUACACAUGCAAGUCGAACGGCAGCGGACCUUCGGGUGCCGGCGAGUGGCGAACGGGUGAGUAAUAUAUCGGAACGUACCUUUCAGUGGGGGAGUAACGUAGCGAAAGUUAACGCUAAUACCGCAUAUUCUGUGAGCAGGAAAGCAGGGGAGUCGCAAGACCUUGCGCUGAUUGAGCGGCCGAUAUCAGAUUAGCUAGUUGGUGAGGUAAAGGGACUCACCAAGGCGACGAUCUGUAGCGGGUCGUGAGAGGAUGAUCCGCCACACUGGAACUGAGACACGGUCCAGACUCCUACGGGAGGCAGCAGUGGGGAAGUUUUGGUACAAUGGGCGGCAAGCCUGAUCCAGCCAUGCCGCGUGAGUGAAGAA